rnacentral:rRNA from 1 species
GACGAACGCUGGCGGCGUGCUUAACACAUGCAAGUCGAACGGAAAGGCCCUGCUUUUGUGGGGUGCUCGAGUGGCGAACGGGUGAGUAACACGUGAGUAACCUGCCCUUGACUUUGGGAUAACUUCAGGAAACUGGGGCUAAUACCGGAUAGGAGCUCCUGCUGCAUGGUGGGGGUUGGAAAGUUUCGGCGGUUGGGGAUGGACUCGCGGCUUAUAAGCUUGUUGGUGGGGUAGUGUCUUACCAAGGCUUUGACGGGUAGCCGGCCUGAGAGGGUCACCGGCCACAUUGGGACUGAGAUACGGCCCAGACGCCUACGGGAGGCAGCAGUGGGGAAUAUUGCACAAUGGGCGGAAGCCUGAUGCAGCAACGCCGCGUGCUGGAUGACGGCCUUCGGGUUGUAACCCGCUUUCGCCUGUGACGAAGCGUGAGUGACGGUAAUGGGUAAAGAAGCACCGGCUAACUACGUG